CGUGCACCGACCCACCCACCCUAUCAAUCAAUCUACUAGAUACUCGCCCCUGCCCCUUCAUUGGGGUGGGGGUUCCAAAAAGGGAAAGCGGUCUGGGGAGAAAUUUUGGGGGGUUCGCCUUCCUUUUUUCCCUCCUCUCCGCUCUUCCCGAGAGUUCUAGUUCGUUUACUUUGAGUAAAUUAGAGUGUUCAAAGCAGGCAAAAAUCUUUUCAGCCGUUGAACAUCAUUAGCAUGGGAUAAUGGAAUAGGACGUCGUUUUCUAUUUUUGUUGGUUUCCGGAAACGAAGUAAUGAUCAAUAGGGAUAGUUGGGGGCAUCAGUAUUUAAUUGUCAGAGGUGAAAUUCUUGGAUUUAUGAAAGACUAACUUCUGCGAAAGCAUUUGCCAAGGAUGUUUUCAUUGAUCAAGAACGAAGUUAGGGGAUCGAAGACGAUCAGAUACCGUCGUAGUCUUAACCAUAAACUAUGCCGACCAAGGAUCGGGGAGACGGUUUCGACGUUUUAGGACUCCCCCAGCACUUUACGAGAAAUCACUAAGUUUUGGGUUCCGGGGAGUAUGGUCGCAA
rnacentral:rRNA from 1 species